UGACAGCACUGGACUUCGAUGUUUCGUAGAUCAACUGUCGUGUACGCCCAGAUGAUGACUUGAUAGUACUUGAUGAUACAUAAUUAUCAUAAAUGGUAACAACUGAUAUCGAGAUUAAGCUUAAGAAAGGUCACGUAGUGUUAACACGGCAUGAAUCGCUUGGUAUUGGCCUCAACAUGUCCUAAAUGGGAAUACAAAUCAAAGGGGGCGCCCAAGAGGGAAUUUUGACAUUUGUCAAAUUAAUCGUAUUAUACCAGAAAGUAAACUUGAUGACUUUAUGCUUUUGUUAGACUGCCUGUAUAUUACACAUUAAGUUUACAUUGUGUUAUUAAUAUUCCGUUGUACAGUUUUGAAAGCAAGCCUGAGAUCUAGAGCGUACGUAUAAUGUAGAUCUGGUCAUAAAGAAACUGAAGCCAAGCAAUGAAGAUGACCACAGGCGACAUGGAGUACAUGCAGCCACUACGGACGACACUAUUACUAGUCGCACUUAGAUAUCACAGGAUUUAUAACACAAAAGUUCUUGGAGGACAAAAAGUGCCGUACAAGGUGGAAAGGACAUACCAACACAUCCAGGGACUCAUCAAUCUGAUAGUGGCCAACAGAAUAACAGAUAGAACUGGAAUAUCUAGCCAAAACCCUUGCAUCAAAUAGAUCCCAGAAGAUUCAAACUCCUAGCCCAUGCUCCUCCACCAUCUACUGCCCAAAUGGUAGAGGAGAAGAAAUCCCAAUUAAGAUGAAUGGGAAUAAUUGACAUUUUGAGACUAAUCACGUUCCAGAGACUAUUACUUUUGAAUAUCUGUCCUUACGUUUAGUAGCUGACCUGGUCCGAAGGACCAAGGUGAGUAUGCCAUACUGAGGCGUCCGGCAUUCGUCUGUCAACAUUGUGAACACAAUAUUUGAAUAACUUGAGUAAAUGUCAGAAUAUACCAAAUUUAAUAAAACUUUAUAAGCAGCCAUAUAUCGACAAGAUCUCAGACAACUUCAAAAAUAGAAAUUAUUGGACAGUAGUUUUUGACAGUAGUUUGCAGAGUUAUUGCCCUUUGUAAUGGUCUUAUUAUUAACAUUUUUUUAGUUCACUGGUCAGAAUGGAAACUCUUUUAGAAAUUCUACUAGUCCUGAACAAUUAAAUGGAUUUGAUGAAAUUUGGUCGGGAGAAUUAUGUGGCAAUGUUAUAUGUUGCAUAAAUGAAGCGUCACCAUCAUCUGAGUGGCACCUUUCGGGGCAAAAUAAGAGAAUUACCUGGUAUAGCAAAAAAAAAAAGGAUUUAACUCAUUUUUUUUUCAAGAAUUACAUCUAGUCCACUUGUAGUUUGAACCAUUGUUGGGAGAGGUAGUUCAAAAGUAGAAAAAUGUUUGAAAUGUAACUUAAAUUUGAGUAGUAUUUAGUUUAUUGGUAUAAUGUUACUAUAAUAGCUUAGCUGUUAUCCAUUCCAUUAAUGUCAUAUGAUAAUCAGUGCAGCCUUAAUUUCAAAAUUUAUAUAAUCUCAAGAGACAAACAACAUUGUCUGGUCUGAAAUUUAAAUGCUUAGUCAAAAAUGAUUAUUCAUAGCUGUACAUGUGUGCACUAUUGAAAUAUUCAUGUUAACACUCACAAGUAAUUUAUAAACUCUCAAAAUUCAUUGAUGUCAACACCCACUAGUGCUCAAUAGUCUUUAAUGUCAACACACACUAGUACUCAAUGGUCAUGGAUGACAACACUCACUAGUAGUAGUACUCAAUAGUCAUUUAUGUCAACACUCACUAAUACUCAAUAGUCAUGGAUGACAACACUCACUAGUAGUAGUACUCAAUAGUCAUAUAUGUCAACACACACUAGUACUCAAUAGUCAUGGAUGACAACACUCACUAGUAGUAGUACUCAAUAGUCAUUUAUGUCAACACUCACUAAUACUCAAUAGUCAUGGAUGACAACACUCACUAGUACUCAUUAGUCAUGGAUGACAACACUCACUAGUACUCAUUAGUAACGUAUGUCAACACUCCAUAAUACUCCAGUCAUGUAUGUCAACACUCCAUAAUACUCAAUAGUCAUUGAUGUCAACACUCAAUUAUCACUGAUGCCAACAAUUGUCAUUGAUGUUAAGUCACUAGUCAUGGCAGUCAACUUUCUCUAGUCAUUGAUGCCAAUGCUUACAUCUGAGCAAGACAAUAAAUACAAUGUGGUAAAUUCUUUAUUUGCA